rnacentral:rRNA from 1 species
UACAGGGGGUGCAACGUUGCUCGGAAUCAUUGGGCGUAAAGCGCACGUAGGCGGUCUGUUAUGUCGGAUGUGAAAGCCCUUGGCUCAACUGAGGAAGUGUAUCCGAAACUGGCAGGCUAGAGUACUAAAGAGGAUCGCGGAAUUCCCGGUGUAGAGGUGAAAUUCGUAGAUAUCGGGAGGAACACCGGCGGCGAAGGCGGCGAUCGUGGGUAGAUACUGACGCUGAGGUGCGAAAGCG